rnacentral:lncRNA from 1 species
GCUGCUGCUUCCGACUCGCUGGAGUGGUGAUGCUGGGAGAUCUCCCUUGGAAAGACCCCCACCGAGGAAAGGGACAUGAUGGCUUGAGGCUGCUGCUUCGGACUGGCUGGAGCGGCGAUGCGGCGAGAUCUCCCUUGGAGAGACCCCCGCCGAGGAAAGGCGCCUGACGGCUCCAGGACAGAGCAGUAAUCAUGUGUGAAGAAGGAAAGGCUAACAGUGGGGAUCCUACUGCUAAUGAGAAGAGUGACUGCAAUGGGAACAGUAAAAAUGAACCAAAGGCUUCUGAAAAUACAGAACUGAUGAUUGAGCCCUUACAAGGGGCAGAACCACGUGGUUGUGGAUGGAGAGCAAACCUGAGGGAGAUGCCAUUUUGGAUACGUGUUACAAUAGUCGGUGCCAUCGCUUCUGUUGUCUGUGUCAUCACUGCUUUUGUUGUCUUGGAUGCCACUGGUGAGUUCUCAACCCUCUUCUCGAUCCUCCUCUUUGACUGAUAUUUUGCAGUUUCUGCCUCUAUGUCUGCCUGUCACUGGGUCUGCAUAGUUUCCCUCUGCACCUCCAGCCUGGCUCUGGCUGCCCUGCCACAGCAGCACCAGAAACAGCAGCCACACCCCGUCCAGCAGCCCUGGGAAGGGCCGUUGGAUGGCAACUACCAGCACGUUCUCCUUGAUGGGGUGGUCUACUCCCCUUCCAUGCCUGAUGCUGCUCUUGUGCUGGGCUGGGGGUAGCUGGCUCACCCUGCCCACCAGAGAGCCUUGGCAGGCAGGGACAUUGGAGUGGCAGUGGAAGGGGGGGGGAGAGAGAGAACAGAUGGAUGGUGCCACCCUGGCCAACUCAGUGGCAAAACAGAGUGUGGGUGUGCUCUGGGGCGACCACCCCUCUGCCCCUUACAGUACACCGCUGCCUACAACUCAUAGCUAAAAGGUCUAACAUAUACUAUAAAACAAUCACAGCCCAUUCUAGACAGUAAAAUAAAAAGUAAUUGCACGUACGCUUCA